CUUAAGCAUGCAAGUCGAACGGACAGGAGGUAGCAAUACCUCCUAGAGUGGCGGACUGGUGAGUAACACGUGGGUGACAUACCCUUCAGAUGGGGAUAGCUAUUAGAAAUAGUAGAUAAUACCGAAUACGAGCACAGGGGUUAGAGAUCUGUGAGGAAAGGAGCUAAGGCUCCGCUGAAGGAAUGGCCUGCGGCCCAUUAGCUAGUUGGUGAGGUAAGAGCCCACCAAGGCGAUGAUGGGUAUCCGGCCUUAGAGGGUGAACGGACACAUUGGGACUGAGAUACGGCCCAGACUCCUACGGGAGGCAGCAGCUAAGAAUAUUCCGCAAUGGACGAAAGUCUGACGGAGCGACGCCGCGUGGAUGAAGAAGGCCGGAAGGUUGUAAAAUCCUUUUGAAACUGAAGAAUAAGCGUUGUAGGGAAUGACAGCGUGGUGACAGUAGGUUUUGAAUAAGCAACGGCUAAUUACGUGCCAGCCGCAGC
rnacentral:rRNA from 1 species